GUUAAGCGACUAAGCGUACACGGUGGAUGCCCUGGCAGUCAGAGGCGAUGAAGGGCGUGCUAAUCUGCGAUAAGCGCCGGUAAGGUGAUAUGAACCGUUAUAACCGGCGAUACCCGAAUGGGGAAACCCAGUGUGACUCGUCACACUAUCAUUAACUGAAUCCAUAGGUUAAUGAGGCGAACCGGGGGAACUGAAACAUCUAAGUACCCCGAGGAAAAGAAAUCAACCGAGAUUCCCCCAGUAGCGGCGAGCGAACGGGGAGGAGCCCAGAGCCUGAAUCAGCAUGUGUGUUAGUGGAAGCGUCUGGAAAGGCGCGCGAUACAGGGUGACAGCCCCGUACACAAAAGCGCAUGUGCUGUGAGCUCGAUGAGUAGGGCGGGACACGUGGUAUCCUGUCUGAAUAUGGGGGGACCAUCCUCCAAGGCUAAAUACUCCUGACUGACCGAUAGUGAACCAGUACCGUGAGGGAAAGGCGAAAAGAACCCCGGCGAGGGGAGUGAAAAAGAACCUGAAACCGUGUACGUACAAGCAGUGGGAGCACAGGUUUACCUGUGUGACUGCGUACCUUUUGUAUAAUGGGUCAGCGACUUAUAUUCUGUAGCAAGGUUAACCGAAU
rnacentral:rRNA from 1 species